rnacentral:rRNA from 1 species
UACGGGGGGUGCGAGCGUUGCUCGGAAUUAUUGGGCGUAAAGCGUACGCAGGCGGCCCAGCAAGUCGAGUGUGAAAUCCCGGGGCUCAACCCCGGACGUGCAUUCGAAACUGAUGGGCUUGAGUGCGGGAGAGGGAAGCGGAAUUCCUGGUGUAGAGGUGAAAUUCGUAGAUAUCAGGAGGAACACCGGUGGCGAAAGCGGCUUCCUGGCCCGAUACUGACGCUCAGGUACGAAAGCGUGGGGAGCAAACAGG